rnacentral:rRNA from 1 species
AGUGAACGCUGGCGGUAGGCCUAACACAUGCCAGUCGAACGGCAGCACAGUAAGAGCUUGCUCUUACGGGUGGCGAGUGGCGGACGGGUGAGGAAUACAUCGGAAUCUACUUUUUCGUGGGGGAUAACGUAGGGAAACUUACGCUAAUACCACAUACGACCUACGGGUGAAAGCAGGGGAUCUUCGGACCUUGCGCGAUUGAAUGAGCCGAUGUCGGAUUAGCUAGUUGGCGGGGUAAAGGCCCACCAAGGCGACGAUCCGUAGCUGGUCUGAGAGGAUGAUCAGCGACACUGGAACUGGAACACGGUCCAGACUCCUACGGGAGGCAGCAGUGGGGAAUAGUGGACAAUGGGCGCAAGCCUGAUCCAGCCAUACCACGUGGGUGAAGAAGGCCUUCGGGUUGUAAAGCCCUUUUGUUGGGAAAGAAAAGCAGCAGGUUAAUACCACGCUGUUCUGACGGUACCCAAAGAAUAAGCACCGGCUAACUUCGUG